rnacentral:rRNA from 1 species
UCUACGGGAGGCAGCAGUAGGGAAUCUUUCACAAUGGGCGAAAGCCUGAUGGAGCAACGCCGCGUGAAGGAUGAAGGUCUUCGGGUUGGAAACUGCUUUUAUAAGCGAGAAAUAUGAUGGUUACUUAUGAAUAAGGAUCGGCUAACUACGUGCCAGCAGCCGCGGUCAUACGUAGGAUCCGAGCAUUAUCCGGAGUGACUGGGUGUAAAGAGUUGCGUAGGUGGCAUAAUAAGUAGCUAGUGAAAUCUGGUGGCUCAACCAUUCAGACUAUUAGCGAAACUGUUAGGCUCGAGACCGUUAGGGGUAAGUGGAAUGUCUAGUGUAGGGGUGAAAUCCGUAGAUAUUAGAAAGAACACCGAUAGCGUAGGCAGGUUGCUGGGGCGGUUCUGACACUGAGGCACGAAAGCGUAGGGAGCAAACGGGAUUAGAUACCCUAGUAGUC